AAGAAAGGGUUGUUUGCAGGAAGAUAAAAGAGAAUUCACCUCUGGGGAAAGCUGCUGCUGCUGCUGCUGCUGCCCAGGCCAGAGAUCCUUUGCAGCAGACAUACGCCCCAGGUGCCACUCAAGAAGAUGUUGCUGCUGACAAGGCUACAAAUCCUGUGCGGCGCAGCCCUCGUGUUGCUGCUACUGUCCAGUCCACUGUUGCUUCGGAACGAGUUUCAUCUCCUGGGAAAUCACGUCUGGGUCACCGUAAACGUAAGAUUGAUGUCGAUGAGACAUAUGUCCCAGAUUCCACUGAAGAUGGUGUUGCUGCUGGCAAGUGCAAUGCUAAGAAGAGUCGUACAGAAUUGGUUAGCGAUGAAUCAGACUUUGAAGCUCCUGCCAAGGU